GUGCUUGCAUUGGCAGCACAUAUACUAAAAUUGGAAUGAUACAGGGAAGAUUAGUAUGGCCCUUGUAUAAGGAUGACAUAUAAAUCCAUAAAACAUUCCAUAUUUUU
rnacentral:snRNA from 1 species